GUCCCUUCGGGGACAUCUGAUAAAAUUGGAACGAUGAGGAGAAGAUUAGCAUGGCCCUUGUGCAAGGAUGACGUAGGCAAAUCAAGAAAUGGUCCAGAUUUUU
rfam:Solanum tuberosum cultivar DM 1-3 516 R44 scf00675_10, whole genome shotgun sequence.